rnacentral:tRNA from 1 species
AGGCUUGUAGCUCAGGUGGUUAGAGCGCACCCCUGAUAAGGGUGAGGUCGGUGGUUCAAGUCCACUCAGGCAUA